rnacentral:misc_RNA from 1 species
GUGAAUGACGUCAUAUUACAAAAUGACGCAAUGACGAAAAAGAACAUGAAAUAUAGAUCGUAGAGAGUAACGACAUGGUUCGUGUGUCUUCUCACACUGAAGCCUUUGAAGCAACACUGGAAAUAUUAUCUGCUGCUAAAAAUGUUGCGAUGGUUGAACAGGAUGUCAGAGAGCUCUUGAGAAUACAAGCUACAGAAGCCGAACAGGAGAAGAAGCAAGCCGCUGACGCUGUUGACGUCGGUAGUAAUGAGAGCAUAAAACAACAAAAAAAUAAGACAAAGGUUCAUCCUAGUGAUCAUCGGAUCCAACUUCAUAUCAGUCAAAAUGCUAACACCACCACAAGGCAACACAGAAAAGAGAAUAUUCUUCCGCCUGAAUAUUGGACGCCUGAGUACCCUUGGCUCACAAAAGAUUUCUACAAUGAGAAAGGGGAGGUAGACGAACGUUCCACUUCAUUGACCACAUUCGAGGACAUACCGGCCCGCCUUUUCUUCCAUGUGAUCACAAUCAUGUGGCGCAGAAAUAUUAGCACAAAUCACUGUUUCUUGGUGAUGGAGUUCAUGGGCGGCGAACGGCUGAACCGCAUUCUCGACAAGGUGGGCUGCAUAUCCGAAUCGGCGGCCACAUUCUACAUCGCUGAAAUAGCGCUGGGAGUGUUCUUUCUGCACCAGAACCGAGUGAUCCUCAGGGCACUGUCGACGUCGGAUGUUGUGGUAGGCGAAGAUGGCCAUCUGCGUUUGUACGACUUCUCCUCGAGCGCUGACAACGUCGCUCCAGGCGAGUUCAUCGGGGGCUUGGGUGGGAGCGUUCAUAGUUCAGCACCCGAGAUGCUCUUUGAUACACUAUUCAACAAGGCUGUUGAUUAUUGGGGAAUCGGAGUGAUAUUGUAUACGAUGGUCUCCGGAAAGUUGCCGUUUUCCGGGACGACAAGAGCCAAACUCUUUCAAUCUAUCAGCUACGAACAUGAGACGUAUAACUCUGCUCUUAGCGAAGGAACCGUGGAUUUAUGCAAAAACUUGUUGGCCAAAGAUCAGAAAUGUCGACUGGGAUACAAUUCUGACGCAGAGGAACAGUUCAAAAGACAUCCGUUCUUCGACAAUCUGUCAUGGAGGAAGAUGGAAAUGCAAAUGUAUAGUCCUCCUUUUAUUCCCAACUACGAGGACUACGAAGUCUUGACUGCUUCUUGGGAUUUCACGGCAGACCAAGAGAUGAUGGUGAAGAAGAAGGUUGUAAAGGCGUACAAGAAACUGUCGGAAUCGAGCAGCGUGCCCAAGCUGAAGCAGGACAUCCCUCGAAGGACUCUGGCUUCGAAAGUAAGCGCGGAGGCAUCGUUGUCACUCAAUGACUUGGACAAGAAGCGCUCCCUCUCAAAGCCGCCCGAGGUGUUCUUGUCUUACCAUGCCUCCAAUAUGGGGUUGACGCCUCUGGAUGGGCAUUGGGAAACUGGGGAGUGCUCCAGCUCCUUGGAGAAGAGCCACGAGAGGGCUCGAAGCAGCUUAGCCAUACCGUCAUUACUGGAGACCUCGUCCAGCCUCUCUGCGCAGUACAGCCACAUCUCAGAGUUAAGCACCGAAAUUCAGAGUGCCGGGCAACCGGACUCAAAGAGGGCCUCGCAGGUACAUCCCUCCGCGGAUGCAAUCCUCUCUCGGGACUCGGGACACCGAUCACUGUCGCACAAAAGGCUACGAACAACGGAAGGUCUCCACAGCUCUUCCCUCAGCAGUUCGAAAUGGCAUAAGUCGAUGCAACUCUCAAAAAGGCGAAGGCAAAAGUCCUUUCUGUGCAGAUGCAAACCGUGCCACUGGAAGCAGCGCUUCCAGAGCUGCUGGGAUUCCUUUCUUGCGUGUCUGGAGGAGAACAAAGUCACCUGCCGGGCUGUCUGCUGCGGACCAGAAGACAUAGACUACAAGGCACUGGCUAACGAGCAACCCGGGCGUCUCUCACAAUCAACGCCCAAACCCCAGAUAGUCUCCUCAGACUGUUCCUCUCCUUACGCGGUGGACGUCUUUGGUGAGAUUAAUACCGCCGAUACCCAAGACUCCUCCAAGCCGGGGGAAUGGAUCGGCCUUGGCAGUCAGAAACAGUCGAGACCGCAAGAUGUCAAAGCCGAGCAAAAGCCGUCCACCUCUGCCUUAGAGAGCGUGCCGGCUGAGGCUCGUGACCAUGGCAACAACGACCUGAAACGGGUCUUUGACUGAAUGAGGCAGACACAUCUGCUCAAUAUCAUCGGUUGUCAAAGCGUCGAUGUCUGAAGCAGCAAGCUACUUGGUCUUGUCAUGUUAUAGAGUAUACUGCAAUGCGAUUGUAAAUUAUUUAAAAACUGUUACUGAUGGAUUCAUUUUUUUUUUUAGGAAGUAAAUUAGAAAAAUAUACACUAAAAAUAUACACUAAAAUAAACGAACAGCGCACUGGAAAGCUUGAAUAUAUGUAACAUCAAUCAAACCAACGUCACAAUUGUACAUAGGUGGUACGAAAUCGAAUUCUGUAAACUGCAAGUCACAACAUAAAAAACAAUCAACCAAUAAUUAAGAAAGGUGUCUACAUAUAAGUCUAACACCAGAACUGCAUUGACCAGAAUGUAAAAUCGUAUACUUGUUUUAUAACACAUUACAUUGAUUGACAGGCAGGCUUUCUUUUUUAAACUGUCUCCUCGACGACCAUAUUAUUGACUUUAAAACUAUAUUCGAUUUGCCUCAUUUUAAAACAAAGUUAGUGCUACUUUUUUUUGCUGCUGUUGUUGUCUUUGUAACUAAAACGCACGGCGACAAAAAUUAGAUGCUGUGAAAGUAAAGGAAAAUUCUAUUAAUUUGUAAUUUCGGUGGGUGCUUAGUCAGUCAUACUUUGUUAAAGACACGAGCUGGAAAACUUAACAAAAAAAUCUGAAUAGAAAGGAAAACAAUUAAAACAGAAAGCAAGACAGAAGUAACGAAUGAAUAAAUGAAUGAAUGAAAUCCCUUACUGACGCUAAAAAUAGUGAUCCUGUUGUACAUUGGUACUGUAAUCAAUGAAUCCUUUUUAUUUUAUCUAUUGCAUAAACAUUAGAUCGGCUAAGUCUACAAAAAUGGUUUCGUUCAAUUAAGUUAGAUGUACUAAUAUUAGCCACUACACUAACAAAACUUGUAUGUACAUUAAUUUCAAAUAGCAGAAUUCAAUGGCUAUGCGUUUAUAAGGCUUUAAUUUUGUCAUUAUUUUAACUGUACUAGUUGAAACAACAUAUAUUAUAUAAAUAUCCCAUCAUUUUUUUUUUCCUGCUUUCUCAGUCUCUGAUCUCUCACACACACACACAUAUACGUCAGGUAGCAUGCAUCUUGCAGAAUAUAUAUUAAUGAACAAGGCUCAAGAUGUCUCGUAGUAAAGCAGGCUAUAUUAGAACAAAUGUCUCGGAGAAGUUUUAAUUCGCUUGACGUAUAUAUAUUGUCUUCAUAAUUCUUAUAGCGUUUCAAAGUGAUGUUUGAUUUAGCAAUUUAAUUUAGUAGCACGUCCUCUUAAUCUUAAAGCUAACUUUAUGAACAAAACCCAUAGUCGCUACGUAGAAUAUAGAGAGGAAUACAAUUAUUGAAGUAAAUGAAAGAAAGGAGCGAGGGUAUCUUCAGCAAAUUCAGUGAGCGAUUCAGUGCACAAGCACCGCGAGCUGUGCUCGGGGUCAAGGUGAAGGUUACUGGGACAGUGUCCUCGUUCGCGGAUGUGUAAGCUGAAAUUUUUAGACAUUCGACAAGUAAUCAUAAUUGCACUAAAAAGUUUCGAAAUAAAUUGUGUGAUUGCUAUUAGUAGAAUAUACAUUUCUUUGAACGUUGUAAAUGACAUUCACUGCACGCUUACACUGUAGGACCGCAGAAACACAUGCGCAUGCUUCAAGCAUGGCCGACAAGAAAAGUAAAACACUGUUUAUAAGGAAUUUACCUUUCUCAGCGACGAACGACAAACUUUCAGAAGUUUUUGGAGAGGUUGGUCCAAUAAAAACUGCUUUUGUCGUCAAACAAAAAGGUUCAAAUAAGUGCAGAGGUUAUGGCUAUGUAAAAUUUUCCAUGAU